rnacentral:rRNA from 1 species
AGACUUUGAUACUGGCUCAGAACGAACGCUGGCGGCAGGCCUAACACAUGCAAGUCGAGCGCACCCUUCGGGGUGAGCGGCGGACGGGUGAGUAACGCGUGGGAACGUACCCUUUGCUACGGAAUAGCCACUGGAAACGGUGAGUAAUACCGUAUGAGCCCUUCGGGGGAAAGAUUUAUCGGCAAGGGAUCGGCCCGCGUUGGAUUAGGUAGUUGGUAGGGUAAAAGCCUACCAAGCCGACGACGGGUAGCCGAUGUGAGAGCAUGAUCGGCCACAAGGGAACUGAGACACGGAUCCUACUCCUACGGGAGGCAGCAGUGGGGAAUAUUGGACAAUGGGGGAAACCCUGAUCCAGCCAUGCCGCGUGAGUGAAGAAGGCCUUAGGGUUGUAAAGCUCUUUCGGUGGUGACGAUGAUGACGGUAGCCACAGAAGAAGCCCCGGCUAACUCCGUGCCAGCAGCCGCGGUAAUACGGAGGGGGCAAGCGUUGUUCGGAAUUACUGGGCGUAAAGGGCGCGUAGCGGAUGAUCAAGUCAGAGGUGAAAGCCCUGGGCUCAACCUAGGAGGUGCCUUUGAAACUGAUUGUCUUGAGUACGGGAGAGGAUAGCGGAAUUCCCAGUGUAAAGG